rnacentral:sRNA from 1 species
AGACCCAUUUUGUAGCACAUUUGAUUUGAGUUUAGUGGAUUCUGUUAUGUAUCCUCUUAUUAUUAUAAGGGAAGUACAAAUUGAAUUUUGUCUAAUUUGAUCUUAAUUUUUAUUUCAAAUUUGGAUUUUGUUCUUUGUUAUUCAAAAUCAUUAAGGGUAAUUUGGUCUUAACAAUCUUCUAAACUUUAUAUGAUUCGAUUAAAUCUAAACCGUUCAAUAAAAUUAAUUCCCUUCAAUCUAAACCGUUCAACAAAAAUAAAUAAAUAACAAGCAAAAAAAAUUUAAUCACAUUUUAACACAUUCUUCUUAUCACUAAAUAACAACAAAAAAA